rnacentral:misc_RNA from 1 species
GAUGAAGAACGUAGCGAAAUGCGAUAAGUAAUGCGAAUUGCAGAAUUCAGUGAGUCAUCGAAUCUUUGAACGCACAUUGCGCCCUGUGGUAUUCCGCAGGGCAUGCCUGUUCGAGCGUCACAAAACCCAAUCACACCUGAUGUGGUCGUGGCGGGAGCGAAUAUGCCCGUGGACGUUCGCUCCGCUGAAAUGAAUGGUGCAGGCGGAGUCCCGAUGAUCGAACGUGGUACUCUAUAUUCGUCCGAUCAUUGGACUUCUGACCUUGCCCUGAUGAUGGGAGAUCUCCCAUAUCCCACUCUUGAAGGUUGACCUCGAAUCAGGUAGGGAUACCCGCUGAACUUAAGCAUAUCAAUAAGCGGAGGA